AGUGAACGCUGGCGGCAGGCCUAACACAUGCAAGUCGAACGGCAGCACAAGAGAGCUUGCUCUCUGGGUGGCGAGUGGCGGGCGGGAGAGAAAUGCAUCUGAAUCUGCUCAUUGGUGGGGGAUAACCUCGGGAAACCGGGACUAUUACGGCAUACGUCCUACGGGGGAAGGCAGGGGAGCUUCGGACCUUUCGCAGAUGGCUUAUCCGACGCCGGAUUAGCUAGUUGGAGGGGUAAAGGCCCACCAAGGCGACGAUCCGUAGCGGGUCUGAGAGGAUGAUCGGCCACACUGGGACUGAGACACGGCCCAGACUCCUACGGGAGGCAGCAGUGGGGAAUAUUCCACAAUGGGCGAAAGCCUGAUCCAGCAAUGCCGCGUGUGUGAAGAAGGCCUUCGGGUUGUAAAGCACUUUUGUUGGGGAAGAAAAGCAGCCGGUUAAUCCCCGGUUGUCAUGACGGUACCCAAAGAGAAAGCACCGGCUAACUUCGUG
rnacentral:rRNA from 1 species